UACGGAGGGGGCAAGCGUUAUCCGGAAUUAUUGGGCGUAAAGCGCGCGUAGGCGGUUUCUUAAGUCUGAUGUGAAAGCCCACGGCUCAACUGUAGAGGGUCAUUGGAAACUGGGGAACUUGAGUGCAGAAGAGGAGAGUGGAAUUCCAUGUGUAGCGGUGAAAUGCGCAGAGAUAUGGAGGAACACCAGUGGCGAAGGCGGCUCUCUGGUCUGUAACUGACGCUGAUGCGCGAAAGCGUGGGGAUCAAACAGG
rnacentral:rRNA from 1 species